UGGGUGAGGGAGCAGCGUGGCGG
rnacentral:piRNA from 1 species